AGUAAGGAGUUGUUGUUGACUGAAAUGUGUCCAAAUAUGGGUGACUUAUCUGGUGUCCCUUGAAGGAAUGUGUCCAAUUUUUUUUCCACUCUUAGUUCAUAU